AGAAUAGCAAGGACUUCCUGGAGUUCCACGGCUAGAGAGUGCACCGCCGCCACCGCUGCUGGCGUUAAAGAGAAGUGAUGCAGUGAGAAGGGAAGGGGUAACCCCUGACAAGAUUCAACAGCUGGACCUUUAUCUGCAGAUACAAAACAGUACCUGAGAUGAAGCAAAUGGAAAUCAGGGAACAGCACAGAGUGAAGUUCAGGAAUGUACGUCAGCGCAUGAGUCAUGCAGGGCUGUGGUGUUGAUAAUGUGAGCAGGAAAAAGGAACUGUGAACACGGGACUGAAGAAAAGGAAGGCUACAAACAGAACCAACAAGCAAAUUAAAUAAAUGUCUUACCAGUAUGCAAGAGAAGGGUGCUCCUGAAGAGUCUUAGUUGGGAAGGCAGGCAAGCUCUUUAGAUCUUUCCUUGCAGUUUCAUCACUAAAAAGUUAAGAAAAAGAAGAAAACAGCUUGAAUGUGAUGAGAGUAUUACUAGUGUAGAAUCACAAAAGCAACCAUUGGUUUCUUAUGGCAAAGGAGGCUGUGCUUUAGCUACUUAAAAGCAAGUUCAUUCAUAGUGUACCGCAGGCUGUCAUAGCAACGUAACCCUAUAGGCCUUCUUGCAUGUCAACUAUGAACAAAAGGGUUGCACUUACAUUACUAUUCUGAUUAGGAGCACAGUGCUAUUGAGAAAUUCCCGUGACUGGGGGAAAAAGAGCAUUCACUUGCUCCUAGUCAUCACUAUUGAAUACUGUCCCCCUAACAGACACAUUUGGUUAUAAAUGAAUGAUAAAACCAUACUUUUAAACCUGAAAAUGGAUACUGAAAUUUCUAAAGCAAACAUUUAUAUUUUAAAAACUAUUUUGAUAAAAAAAUAAGAGAAAUAAAAGAGAAAAAUAGGUGGUUGUCAUUUUUAGUAGGGUGUUUCAAAGGAGGAGGUUUUUAAUUGCUUUAAUUAAAAAAUAGGGCAGAAAUCUACCUAAUUAUUUUGGUUGUUGUAAAAAAGGAGGAAUUAUUAUUUAUUUUAUUUCCUUCCCACUUUAACUCUCUUUAAAAAAACAAAGCAGCUCACAAUAAAAUCAAAAUAAUUCUUUUCUGAAUUCCAAAAUCAUCCAAAAUGGUUCGUUCAAGUAGCUGAGAGAGUGAGAUCUUUGCUUUCUGGUGGUACACACAUUUUCUUCCAUGUACAAAGUUGUUUAAAAUAGAAUGCAUAAAAUAAGAUUAGGGUAUGUGUAUGUGUCUAAGGAUUAUAUGAAACAUAAACAAAUUUCAUGUUUAAACAUGGAUUUAUUUAUCCAUGAUUUAUUUAUUUUUAUCUAUCUAUCUAUCUAUCUAUCUAUCUAUCUAUCUAUCUAUCUAUCUAUCUAUCACCACAGGUAUUCCAAACUAAUAAUAAUAAAUAUCCAAAAUCCUUCUAA